rnacentral:rRNA from 1 species
UACAGAGGGGGCAAGCGUUAUUCGGAAUUAUUGGGCGUAAAGGGCGCGUAGGCGGCGAUUCAAGUGACGGGUGAAAUCCCUCGGCUUAACCGAGGAACUGCCUGUCAGACUGGGUUGCUUGAGACCGGGAGAGGCGAGUGGAAUUCCCAGUGUAGCGGUGAAAUGCGUAGAUAUUGGGAGGAACACCAGUGGCGAAGGCGGCUCGCUGGACCGGAACUGACGCUGAGGAGCGAAAGCGUGGGUAGCGAACAGG